rnacentral:rRNA from 1 species
AUUGAACGCUGGCGGCAGGCCUAACACAUGCAAGUCGAGCGGAUGAAGGGAGCUUGCUCCUGGAUUCAGCGGCGGACGGGUGAGUAAUGCCUAGGAAUCUGCCUGGUAGUGGGGGAUAACGUCCGGAAACGGGCGCUAAUACCGCAUACGUCCUGAGGGAGAAAGUGGGGGAUCUUCGGACCUCACGCUAUCAGAUGAGCCUAGGUCGGAUUGGCUAGUUGGUGGGGUAAAGGCCUACCAAGGCGACGAUCCGUAACUGGUCUGAGAGGAUGAUCAGUCCCACUGGAACUGAGACACGGUCCAGACUCCUACGGGAGGCAGCAGUGGGGAAUAUUGGACAAUGGGCGAAAGCCUGAUCCAGCCAUGCCGCGUGUGUGAAGAAGGUCUUCGGAUUGUAAAGCACUUUAAGUUGGGAGGAAGGGCAGUAAGUUAAUACCUUGCUGUUUUGACGUUACCAACAGAAUAAGCACCGGCUAACUUCGUG